AGGCCUUGACAUGCAGAGAACUUUCCAGAGAUGGAUGGUGCCUUCGGGAACUCUGACACAGGUGCUGCAUGGCUGCGUCAGCUCGUGUCGUGAGAUGUUGGGUUAAGUCCCGUAACGAGCGCAACCCUUGUCCUUAGUUACCAGCACGUUAUGGUGGGCACUCUAAGGAGACUGCCGGUGACAAACCGGAGGAAGGUGGGGAUGACGUCAAGUCAUCAUGGCCCUUACGGCCUGGGCUACACACGUGCUACAAUGGUCGGUACAAAGGGUUGCCAAGCCGCGAGGUGGAGCUAAUCCCAUAAAACCGAUCGUAGUCCGGAUCGCAGUCUGCAACUCGACUGCGUGAAGUCGGAAUCGCUAGUAAUCGUGAAUCAGAAUGUCACGGUGAAUACGUUCCCGGGCCUU
rnacentral:rRNA from 1 species